GGCUUGUUGGUCUAGUUGUAUGACUCUCGCUUAGGGUGCGAGACGUCUCGGGUUCAAUUCCCGGAUAAGCCC